CAUUUCAACAGAAUUGGAGAACCUGAACAGAACAGAGUUACCAUCAAGAGAGCCCAGGGAGAGCAUUAACAUGUUUGCCACCCAAAACCCUCCUCAGCCAGGAGAUAUGCAAGGCCUAUGAGCUGAGUGGAAAAGAAGAGGCAUAUUAUUAGGAGUCAUGAGUCAUUUGAGUUGGUGAAAUACUAUUACAGAAAAAAAACCCAGUAUUCAGAGUCAGCACCAUCACCUGUUGGGGAAGAUAAUAACCAUAAUUCCUGGCAAUUCUCCUUUGAGAAGUCUUCCUACACCCAUGCUCACGGUACCCAUGAAGGGCAGAGAAUUCAAAUCCCUUGGAGCUGAAGUUACAGGUGUUUGUGGGCUGCCCUAUGUGGAUACUGGAAGUCAAACUCAGAUGUAAGCUACCCGGGGAAGGAUAGAACAAAGGGGCCCCACGCUCCUCUACAACAAAGUGGCACUCCAACGAGGUAAGGAACUCCACGUACAACCUGAGAGGGCUUAAAAAGGAAUUCUAGACACAAAUAUAGAGUUUA